rnacentral:rRNA from 1 species
GGCCAGCAUAGGUUUCUAGUNCAGGAGAAGGGGUUCUGGAAUAUGGCUCCUCGGAGUGUUAUAGCACAGAGCANNAUGCUGCGUGUGGGGACNNAGGACUGCGGNUUUUUGUCACUGGAUGCUGGCAUAAU